AUUGAACGCUGGCGGCAGGCCUAACACAUGCAAGUCGAGCGAGCGGCGGACGGGUGAGUAUUGUCUGGGAAACUGCACGAUGGAGGGGGAUAACUACGGGAAACGGUAGCUAAUACCGCAUACCAUCAGAUGUGCCCAGAUGGGAUUGGCUAGUAGGUGGGGUAACGGCUCACCUAGGCGACGAUCCCUCGCUGGUCUGAGAGGAUGACCAACUCCACUGUAACUGAGACACGUUACAGAUUCCUACGGGAGGCAGCAGUGGGGAAUAAUGCACCCGGGGCGAAAGCCUGAUGCACCCAUGCCGCUGGUGUUAAGAAGGCCUUUGGGUUUAAAAGUACGGUCCGCGGGGAGGCGUUACCCGCAGAAGAAGCACCGGCUAACUCCGUGCCAGCAGCCGCGGUAAUUC
rnacentral:rRNA from 1 species